AUUGAACGCUGGCGGCAUGCCUUACACAUGCAAGUCGAACGGCAGCACGGGAGCAAUCCUGGUGGCGAGUGGCGAACGGGUGAGUAAUAUAUCGGAACGUGCCCAGUCGUGGGGAUAACGUAGCGAAAGCUACGCUAAUACCGCAUACGAUCUAUGGAUGAAAGCGGGGGAUCGCAAGACCUCGCGCGAUUGGAGCGGCCGAUAUCAGAUUAGGUAGUUGGUGAGGUAAAGGCUCACCAAGCCGACGAUCUGUAGCUGGUCUGAGAGGACGACCAGCCACACUGGGACUGAGACACGGCCCAGACUCCUACGGGAGGCAGCAGUGGGGAAUAUUGGACAAUGGGCGAAAGCCUGAUCCAGCCAUGCCGCGUGUGUGAAGAAGGUCUUCGGAUUGUAAGCACUUUAAGUUGGGAGGAAGGGUAGUAACCUAAUACGUUGCUACUUUGACGUUACCGACAGAUAAGCACCGGCUAACUUCGUGCCA
rnacentral:rRNA from 1 species